rnacentral:rRNA from 1 species
AGAGUUUGAUCCUGGCUCAGAACGAACGCUAGCGGCAGGCUUAACACAUGCAAGUCGAGCGCCCCGCAAGGGGAGCGGCAGACGGGUGAGUAACGCGUGGGAAUCUACCUCUUGCUACGGAAUAGCUCAGGGAAACUUGUGCUAAUACCGUAUGUGCCCUUCGGGGGAAAGAUUUAUCGGCAAAGGAUGAGCCCGCGUUGGAUUAGCUAGUUGGUGGGGUAAAGGCCCACCAAGGCGACGAUCCAUAGCUGGUCUGAGAGGAUGAUCAGCCACACUGGGACUGAGACACGGCCCAGACUCCUACGGGAGGCAGCAGUGGGGAAUAUUGGACAAUGGGCGCAAGCCUGAUCCAGCCAUGCCGCGUGAGUGAUGAAGGCCCUAGGGUUGUAAAGCUCUUUCACCGGUGAAGAUAAUGACGGUAACCGGAGAAGAAGCCCCGGCUAACUUCGUGCCAGCAGCCGCGGUAAA